UGUAGGAGCGGGCUUGCUCGCGAUGGCAUCAAUGCAACCUCACUGACAGACCGCGGCGCUGGCAUCGCGAGCAAGCCCGCUCCCACA
rnacentral:misc_RNA from 1 species